AUCCUUCUGGUUCUUACAUGUGAUGAGUGGGUUAUCACACGGCUGUGUGAGAUGUGCCUUCCCGACUUGUUACGACUCGGCAUAGUACCCAUCUGAUC
ensembl:snoRNA